AUUGAACGCUGGCGGCAUGCCUUACACAUGCAAGUCGAACGGUAACAGGUCUUCGGAUGCUGACGAGUGGCGAACGGGUGAGUAAUACAUCGGAACGUGCCUAGUAGUGGGGGAUAACUACUCGAAAGAGUGGCUAAUACCGCAUGAGAUCUACGGAUGAAAGCAGGGGAUCGCAAGACCUUGUGCUACUAGAGCGGCCGAUGGCAGAUUAGGUAGUUGGUGGGAUAAAAGCUUACCAAGCCGACGAUCUGUAGCUGGUCUGAGAGGACGAUCAGCCACACUGGGACUGAGAAACGGCCCAGACUCCUACGGGAGGCAGCAGUGGGGAAUUUUGGACAAUGGGCGCAAGCCUGAUCCAGCAAUGCCGCGUGCAGGAUGAAGGCCUUCGGGUUGUAAACUGCUUUUGUACGGAACGAAAAGCCCCGGGUUAAUACCCUGGGGUCAUGACGGUACCGUAAGGAUAAGUACCGGCUAGCUACGUGCCAGCCGCCGCCGUAA
rnacentral:rRNA from 1 species